GUAUAUAUACACAUACGUAUGUGUGUGUAUAUAUAUAUAUAUAUACACACACAUACGUAUGUGUAUAUAUAUA
rnacentral:pre_miRNA from 10 species